rnacentral:misc_RNA from 1 species
UUGGACCAUGAAUUUGUCCAAUUUCCUUCUUGUAAGUCUCCCCCAACUCUUGUUUUCUUUCCAAAGCUCUUGCCAAACUCAUUGCUUGUACUAGACUCAACGGAUUUUGAAUCUCCACAUCAAGCCUGAUUGAAUAAGUUAACCCCACAAUAAAUAAGUCCACCUGUUGGUCUACUUGGACUAUUGUUGCUUUAGCCAGCAAACUUUGAAAUUGGCAUUGGUACUCCUCUACUGUUCCUGUUUGGUUCAAAUUAACUAAUUCACCCAAAGGAUUGCUACUG